rnacentral:lncRNA from 1 species
AUUUUCUUAUCAUGAGAUCUCAUCAUUCUUCUUUGGUAUAGUUGACCAUGACGUAGUGUUGCUAGUCUCUUUUCUUCAAUGACAUUUAGUUGCUCAUAGUGCUUUUGAAUCCAUUCAGCUUAUUUUAAUCCCACUUCUUUUAAGACUCUCAAAGACGAAAUUUUUACUUUUAUCGGUAGAACAACCUCCAUCCCAUAAACCAAGAAAAAUGGAGUUAUCUCAAUAGAGGUAUGUACUGA